rnacentral:lncRNA from 1 species
CUGACUCACUUAGUCUCUCCAACAUUCUCACACAUGAGAUCUUGAACCCCCUCAUACUCCCUAUUCCUAAAGAUUUUGAAAUGGUUGUUGUAGAUGUAUAUGUUUAUCAUAAAUAUCAUAGAUCUCAUUGUGUUAGAAUCUUGAGAUAACUUCACCACAACACAUCUUGAAGGUUUCCCAAGGACAAGCUUUGUGUCCUAAAAUAAGCAGCUUUAGAAGAUAACACGAGUGUUCGCCUUUUUUCUAUUGUUGACACUGUUUUUGGACACGUGUCUUUGGACGUGUAUCUGGAGUUGAUGAGGUGUAGAUCGGCAGGCAGAGGUAUGGUGACUAAGUUCGUAGAAGAGUUGCCGAUGAUGGUUGAUGCCGAGGAAAAAACGACAAGAUAUAGCUAAGUCCAGGAGCGAUGAUGGAUCCGUGCCGAUGACUGGGGCUGGUGGUUGUCGAUGACUAAUGUUGAUGGUUGCCAAUGGCUAUAGAAGGUGAUUUGCCGAUGAAUACAGAAGAAGGCACGAGGGUUGAUGGUCGGAUGGUGAUAAUGUGCCGAUUGGUUGUGGAAGAUAAUUUAAUGCUUUCCAUAGUUGUUAGAGUUUGUUUUGUAUACGGAUUCUGUUUAAUUUGGAAUUUGAGUCCUAGUCGUGUCUGAUUGUAACCCUUUUGGAUAGGGUAUAAAUAUAGACCCUACGGCAAUGUAAUGAAUAUCUAUCAAUCAAUCAAAUACAAGUUUUUACACAUAUUCUAGCAUCUACUUUUGAAUGACUUCGUCAUAUUUUCUUUUUUACUAUGAGUUCUUAGGAAUUCGUCGAGUCAAACUCGGCGUGUUCUCAAGUUCCACGUGAGCACCUCUUGGCCGUGA